rnacentral:rRNA from 1 species
UACGGAGGGUGCAAGCGUUGUCCGGAAUCACUGGGCGUAAAGGGCGCGUAGGCGGCUCGGUAAGUAGGGGGUGAAAUCCUGCGGCUUAACCGCAGGGCUGCCUUCUAAACUGUCGAGCUCGAGCACGGUAGAGGCAGAUGGAAUUCCCGGUGUAGCGGUGGAAUGCGUAGAGAUCGGGAAGAACAUCAGUGGCGAAGGCGGUCUGCUGGGCCGUUGCUGACGCUGAGGCGCGACAGCGUGGGGAGCAAACGGGG